AUCAACCGCAUCAUUGCGAAAAACGCGUCUUUAUACAAACACCACACGCAAAACGUCAAGUGCGGUAAAAUGAUGGCCCGCUUUAUGAUUUCGUUGGCGCUGCUUUGUCUAAUAGUUCACGUGACGCAAGGCAUUAUACCCAUUAGACCACCGCCACGUUUUUGUGCGCUUGGACCGAUCAAGGAUGGGCAGACCAACUCGUGUGAUGCGAAAAUCCCAAGCUUCACAUUCAACAGCAGGACCCGCAGAUGUGAAAAUUUCAUUUACGGAGGAUGCAACGGUUCGGAAAAUCUAUUUAAAACACGGCUCGAUUGCAAAUUUACCUGCGAACAAUAUGCGAAAGGACGUUAAAAAACUGCAAGGAAACACCUGUCUGACCUGGACUAUGGAGGCCGGCGGAAUCUUAAGAUUCAAAAUCAAUCACAAUCAAGAUGUAAAUUACCAUUAAAAAAAUCAAUAAAUCAGAUGGGAAUGUUAAA